GAUCAGGUGGCCGAGUGGUUAAGACGAUGGACUGCUAAUCCGUUGAGGUUUCACCGCGUGAGUUCGGAUCUCAUCCUGAUCG
rnacentral:tRNA from 1 species